rnacentral:rRNA from 1 species
GAUGAACGCUAGCGGCAGGCUUAAUACAUGCAAGUCGAGGGGCAGCAUAAGUAGCAAUACUUGAUGGCGACCGGCAAACGGGUGCGGAACACGUACAGAACCUUCCUUCGAGCGGGGAAUAGCCCGGAGAAAUCCGGAUUAAUACCCCAUAGUAAAUUGAAAAGGCAUCUUUUAAUUUAAAGUAUUAUCACUUGAGAUGGCUGUGCGCCUGAUUAGGUAGUUGGCGGGGUAACGGCCCACCAAGCCUUCGAUCAGUAACUGGUGUGAGAGCACGACCAGUCACACGGGCACUGAGACACGGGCCCGACUCCUACGGGAGGCAGCAGUAAGGAAUAUUGGUCAAUGGACGCAAGUCUGAACCAGCCAUGCCGCGUGAAGGAUGAAGG